rnacentral:rRNA from 1 species
ACAGGCUUAACACAUGCAAGUCGAGGGGCAGCACAGGUAGCAAUACCGGGUGGCGACCGGCGCACGGGUGAGUAACGCGUAUGCAACUUGCCUAUCAGAGGGGGAUAACCCGGCGAAAGUCGGACUAAUACCGCAUGAAGCAGGGGCCCCGCAUGGGGAUAUUUGCUAAAGAUUCAUCGCUGAUAGAUAGGCAUGCGUUCCAUUAGGCAGUUGGCGGGGUAACGGCCCACCAAACCGACGAUGGAUAGGGGUUCUGAGAGGAAGGUCCCCCACAUUGGUACUGAGACACGGACCAAACUCCUACGGGAGGCAGCAGUGAGGAAUAUUGGUCAAUGGGCGCGAGCCUGAACCAGCCAAGUCGCGUGAGGGAUGAAGGUUCUAUGGAUCGUAAACCUCUUUUAUAAGGGAAUAAAGUGCGGGACGUGUCCCGUUUUGUAUGUACCUUAUGAAUAAGGAUCGGCUAACUCCGUGCCAGCAGCCGCGGUAAUACGGAGGAUCCGAGCGUUAUCCGGAUUUAUUGGGUUUAAAGGGUGCGUAGGCGGCCUUUUAAGUCAGCGGUGAAAGUCUGUGGCUCAACCAUAGAAUUGCCGUUGAAACUGGGGGGCUUGAGUAUGUUUGAGGCAGGCGGAAUGCGUGGUGUAGCGGUGAAAUGCAUAGAUAUCACGCAGAACCCCGAUUGCGAAGGCAGCCUGCCAAGCCAUUACUGACGCUGAUGCACGAAAGCGUGGGGAUCAAACAGGAUUAGAUACCCUGGUAGUCCACGCAGUAAACGAUGAUCACUAGCUGUUUGCGAUACACUGUAAGCGGCACAGCGAAAGCGUUAAGUGAUCCACCUGGGGAGUACGCCGGCAACGGUGAAACUCAAAGGAAUUGACGGGGGCCCGCACAAGCGGAGGAACAUGUGGUUUAAUUCGAUGAUACGCGAGGAACCUUACCCGGGUUUGAACGCAUUCGGACCGAGGUGGAAACACCUUUUCUAGCAAUAGCCGUUUGCGAGGUGCUGCAUGGUUGUCGUCAGCUCGUGCCGUGAGGUGUCGGCUUAAGUGCCAUAACGAGCGCAACCCUUGCCACUAGUUACUAACAGGUAAAGCUGAGGACUCUGGUGGGACUGCCAGCGUAAGCUGCGAGGAAGGCGGGGAUGACGUCAAAUCAGCACGGCCCUUACAUCCGGGGCGACACACGUGUUACAAUGGCGUGGACAAAGGGAAGCCACCUGGCGACAGGGAGCGAAUCCCCAAACCACGUCUCAGUUCGGAUCGGAGUCUGCAACCCGACUCCGUGAAGCUGGAUUCGCUAGUAAUCGCGCAUCAGCCAUGGCGCGGUGAAUACGUUCCCGGGCCUUGUACACACCGCCCGUCAAGCCAUGGGAGCCGGGGGUACCUGAAGUCCGUAACCGCGAGGAUCGGCCUAGGGUAAAACUGGUGACUGGGGCU